UGAAUACGAGAUGCUACGGCGUCGAAGCAGUGUAUGUCAGACUUCCAAGAAAAGCUCGCAAUGUCAUAAAUAAAGAAUGCCUGUACCAUAACCGACACAGGUGGGUAGGUAGAGUAUACUAAGGGGCGCGAGAUAACUCUCCCUAAGGAACUCGGCAAAAUAACUCCGUAACUUCGGGAGAAGGAGUGCCUUCUUUAAGAAGGUUGCAAUAACAAGAUCCAUGCAACUGUUUAUCAAAAACACAGGUCUCCGCUAAGUCGUAAGACGAUGUAUGGGGGCUGACGCCUGCCCAGUGCCAGAAGGUUAAAGAAGUUGGUUAGCUUUGCGAAGCUGAUGACUGAAGCCCUGGUGAACGGCGGCCGUAACUAUAACGGUCCUAAGGUAGCGAAAUUCCUUGUCGGGUAAGUUCCGACCCGCACGAAAGGCGUAAUGAUUUGGAUACUGUCUCGGAGAGGGACUCGGUGAAAUAGACUUGUCUGUGAAGAUGCGGACUACCUGCACCAGGACAGAAAGACCCUAUGAAGCUUUACUGUAACUUGAAAUUGAAAUUGGACUUUAUUUGCGCAGUAUAGGUGGAAGGCGUUGAAAGUAAUCUUGCGGGAUUAGUGGAGCCAUCAGUGAGAUACCACUCCUAUAAUGUUAGAUUUCUAACUUUGGAUCAUGAUCUGGUCAAAGAACAGUUUCAGGCGGGCAGUUUGACUGGGGCGGUCGCCUCCCAAAUGGUAACGGAGGCGUACAAAGGUUUCCUCUGAACGGGUAGAAAUCGUAUCUAGAGUGUAAAGGCAUAAGGAAGCUUGACUGUGAGACCUACAAGUCGAGCAGGGACGAAAGUCGGUCUUAGUGAUCUGACGGUGCUGAGUGGAAAGGCCGUCACUCAACGGAUAAAAGUUACUCUAGGAUAACAGGCUGAUCUCCCCCAAGAGUUCACAUCGACGGGGAGGUUUGGCACCUCGAUGUCGGCUCAUCGCAUCCUGGGGCGGUAGUACGUCCCAAGGGUUGGGCUGUUCGCCCAUGAAAGCGGUACGCGAGCUGGGUUCAGAACGUCGUGAGACAGUUCGGUCCAUAUCCGGUGUAGGCGUUAGAAUAUUGAGAGGAGCCUUCUUUAGUACGAGAGGACCGAGAAGGACAUACCUCUGGUGUACCAGUUAUCGUGCCAACGGUAAACGCUGGGUAGCUAUGUAUGGAGAGGAUAACCGCUGAAAGCAUCUAAGUGGGAAGCCCACCUCAAGAUGAGUAUUCUCGC
rnacentral:rRNA from 1 species